CCUACGGGUGACAGCAGUGGGGAAUAUUGCUCAAUGGGGGAAAGCCUGAAGCAGCAACGCCGCGUGGAGGAUGAAGGUUUUCGGGUUGUAAACUCCUUUUGUUAGAGAAGAUAAUGACGGUAUCUAACGAAUAAGCACCGGCUAACUCCGUGCCAGCAGCGGCGGUAAUACGGAGGGUGCAAGCGUUAUACGGAAUCACUGGGCGUAAAGAGCGCGUAGGCGGGAUAGCAAGUCAGAUGUGAAAUCCUUUGGCUUAACCAUAGAACUGCAUUUGAAACUGUUAUUCUAGAGUAUGGGAGAGGUAGGUGGAAUUCUUGGUGUAGGGGUGAAAUCCGUAGAGAUCAAGAGGAAUACUCAUUGCGAAGGCGACCUGCUAGAACAUAACUGACGCUGAUGCGCGAAAGCGUGGGGAGCAAACAGGAUUAGAUACCCCAGUAGUC
rnacentral:rRNA from 1 species